GGUGGCUCAGUGGUAGAGCACUUGCCUUGCAUGCACGAGGCCCUGGGUUCGAUUCCUUAGCACCA
rnacentral:tRNA from 1 species